UAGUCCGCACGAGCGCACCCUUGUCCUUAUUUGCCAUCGGGUAAUGCCGGGAACUCUAAGGAAACUGCCGGUGACAAACCGGAGGAAGGUGGGGACGACGUCAAGUCAUCAUGGCCCUCACGGGGUGGGCUACAAACGUGCUACAAUGGGCGGUACAAAGGGCUGCAACCCAGCAAUGGCGAGCGAAUCCCAAAAAACCGCUCGUAGUCCGGAUAGGAGUCUGCAACUCGGCUCCUUGAAGUCGGAAUCGCUAGUAAUCGCGAAUCAGAAUGUCGCGGUGAAUACGUUCCCGGGCCUU
rnacentral:rRNA from 1 species